rnacentral:tRNA from 1 species
GGUCCCGUGGUGUAGCGGUUAUCACGCAUGCUUCACACGCAAGAGGCCGCCGGUUCGAUCCCGGCCGGGAUCA